CCUACGGGAGGCAGCAGUGGGGGAUAUUGCACAAUGGGGGGAACCCUGAUGCAGCGACGCCGCGUGGGUGAAGGAGCGUUUCGGCGCGUAAAGCCCUAUCGGCAGGGAAGAAGGUUACGGUACCUGGCCAGGAAGCCCUGGCUAACUACGUGCCAGCAGCCGCGGUAAUACGUAGGGGGCGAGCGUUAUCCGGAUUUACUGGGUGGAAAGGGGGCGCAGACGGCAAUGCAAGCCAGGGGUGAAAGCCCGGGGCCCAACCCCGGGACUGCUCUUGGAACUGCAUGGCUGGAGUACAGGAGGGGCAGGCGGAAUUCCUAGUGUAGCGGUGAAAUGCGUAGAUAUUAGGAGGAACACCGGUGGCGAAGGCGGCCUGCUGGACUGUGACUGACGUUGAGGCGCGAAGGCGUGGGGAGCAAACAGGAUUAGAUACCCCAGUAGUC
rnacentral:rRNA from 1 species